GAUGAACGCUGGCGGCGUGCUUAACACAUGCAGGUCGAACGAAGCAUUUAAGACAGAUUACUUCGGUUUGAAGUCUUUUAUGACUGAGUGGCGGACGGGUGAGUAACGCGUGGGUAACCUGCCUCAUACAGGGGGAUAGCAGCUGGAAACGGCUGGUAAUACCGCAUAAGCGCACAGUACCACAUGGUACAGUGUGAAAAACUCCGGUGGUAUGAGAUGGACCCGCGUCUGAUUAGCUUGUUGGCGGGGUAACGGCCCACCAAGGCGACGAUCAGUAGCCGACCUGAGAGGGUGACCGGCCACAUUGGGACUGAGACACGGCCCAGACUCCUACGGGAGGCAGCAGUGGGGAAUAUUGCACAAUGGAGGAAACUCUGAUGCAGCGACGCCGCGUGAGUGAAGAAGUAGUUCGCUAUGUAAAGCUCUAUCAGCAGGGAAGAUAGUGACGGUACCUGACUAAGAAGCUCCGGCUAAAUACGU
rnacentral:rRNA from 1 species